ACCCGCCCGCGGAGUCCCAGCCGCCGGGAGCUGAGCCGAGCGAGCGAGCGGGCGGGCAGUGUGGCCUGCAGCCGAAAGCAGGCGGUUCCCUUCCUUGUGGUCGCAGUCCCUCCUCCUCUUCCCUGGUGUGUCGGCUCCGGGAAGCUCAGGUAGGGACCGCCGCCCGGGAGAGCCUGCCCACAGCCUCUAAGCUGAGAUUCUCCAAGGAGAAGUAAGGGAUCCUGGCUGUAGCAUGAGCGGCACACACAGGCUCCUGCAAGGUCCUAGAGUGGCCUUGUGCUCAAGCCCUCUCCUUGACAACUUUUAAACGGCCAGCACGCUGCUGCUGAGGAAACUCACUAAGGCAAAAGGCAUGCUUGCAGUCUUGGCUGCUGCAGAAGGGCUCACUAUCCCUAAAGCAGAGCGAGUGUUCGUACUUACACCCCAGUGAGUAUGAGCUGGGGCUGUGCUCUGCUGACCACUUAGAAGCGUGGCUUCCCAUUCUGACCAGCCUUGAAGGGUAGAGCAGGACUGCAGAGGCAGACCUUCCCCAGACAAACACACACUUCUGACAUGCUCAUGAUACUGCUGGAAAACUAUGACGAAGGCUCUGGUGGAGAUUCAAAAAGAAACUAACUUCUAAAAUGUACACCCCUGUUCUCACCUGGAAGAGGACUUUACUGAGCAGGGCUGUGAUAAACAAAACUGGUGUUUAUUUAACAAGUCCCGGAGUACCUCGUGUUCCCUUAGAUCCGUGGUCAGUCUAUUUGUAGGGCACACACCGCUCAGUCAGAAAACUUGGAAUCCAUGUCUGGAAAAGUUUCAGUGUCUUUGAAAAUUCUAAACUGAUAACUAAGAACACUUGGCCAUGAAGAGGAAGCCCUGGCUACAAAAUUUCUCCUUCAGGCCCAAAGAUUUAGAAAAAAAAGAAUUCAAUUUACUGAGGGUCCUCCCAGCAGAGAUAAACAACAAAGGGACCUUGUUUUAGAAGGCAGUUUACAAGGACACUGGGAUGGGGGAGGGGCCCUGCACUGAUCACUUCACGUGACCCUGCUCAAUCGCAUCUCGGGUUUCAGAUUUGGAAGUGGAGCUCCCAAGAAGGUAUACAUUUGCGUAAAGCAGAAACGGCAGUAUAGAAUUAGACCGCUCAAAAGCUGGGGUUUUUCUUUUCUACAGUCACCACUCCUGCACUGAGAUAUCCACUAACAAUCUACAACAUGCUAAGCCCAUGCUACAGACACAAUGAAGAGCCUGCGCCUUUAAAGGGCUCUGGAUGUGCUGUAUGCAAUGAUACAAUGUGGCAACAAGAAAUCCGGGACAGGAGGAGCACCUAACCUAGUUCUGAAGGGUGGAACCUGGGAUUAGGACACUGCACCCCUCCUUACAGCUAUCCUGGGAGCUUUACCACAGCAGCCAGGGAGAAUGUGUGUUAGGAUGGAGAGGGGACUGGAGGGAAAUGAUGUCAGACUGGCAGAAUUUAGUCAGAACUGGGGUGAAGAAAAAUGGUCAAUUAGAGAUAAAAAUCAUGGUCUCAACUUCAGUGGUACUCUAUGAAUUGGAGAAUUCAAUUUUAGACAAAACUGCUUUUGAAAUAACUCUUACAGAAACAUACAGUGUCCAAAAAGCAGCUGGCAUACUAACUGACAGCUCAGGAAAUGUCUAAGGUCAGUAUGUAAUAACUGUGUACUUCUACUGAAAGGAGUGGGGACAAGAGUCCAGGAAGAAUGCUCCAGGAGGACCACCCACAGGACAGGUAACAUUUAAGGCACGGUGGUAGAAGAAGCAAUGCUUAGGAGGUGAAUAAGCAAGGGACAGGGCAGCCACAGAGGACAGAAGAGAAGCACUGUGGAUGGCCCAGCCAAAGGUAGAAUCCUUCAGAAAGCAAACAGAUACUUUGGAAGUGUUCUCUUGACAGGUUUAGUGCACACAUCUGUAAUCCCAGCACUAGGAAGGCAGAAGCAGGAGGGUCAAGAGUUCAAGGUUAGCCUUGGAUGCACAUGAGUUUGAUGCCAGCUGGACUACAUAAACGCCUAUCCCAAAUAGCAACAACAAACACGGCCUCUCACUGAACAACGCGAAGCACUGCUAAGAACCGCGUCUGUGGACUGGUGGAAUGAAGACGCCGCAGGGCAUAGUACCAUAGUUUCAGGAAUCAAACUGGAAAGAGAUGUAUAAACACAACAAGAGCUACAAGUAAGGAAAGAUGUGAAAGGAAAGAACGGCUCAGAAGCAGAGAAAGAGGAGCUUCCUAAGCAAGAGGAAAAGGGAGCACAUGAGUGCACACGUGAGUACACACACACACACACACACACACACACACACACACACUGAGGUGAGGGCACAGGACAGACUGAGAAUGUACACUGAUUUCCUAGAAGAGGAGAUGGCUAGAAGGGGUGGGAACUAGAGGACUUGUCAUCAACAUCAGCAAACUCCAGCCAAGGGACACAAAAUGACUGAAGCAUAUGGAAAGCAUAGGAAGUUAAAUGAACAUCAGAGGCCAUGCCUUGAAAGAGUAACAAACCCACACAACCACAAUUUUUCUUCAACAGUAUCAGUGUUCUAUCCAGAGGAGCACAAAUUCUGCCAUUACACUACCAUCACCAAGCCAUACAUCUGGGUCACUCAGCUGCAGGAGGCUUAACAUGAAAGUAUGUGAUGUUUAUAAGUGAGCUUCUAGCAACUUCAAACAGGCAGGUUCCUGACUUGGAAAAACUGGUUUGAUUAAGCCCUCAGGAGCAUAAUGCAAGGAAAAUGCCAAGGAUGGCUCUCAUGUAUCUCUAUAAUACUUCCAGAACCAUACUCGGAUGAGAAAAACAUAGAAAUAUAUAGUUUAUGAAACAAAUUUCUAGCUUUUUGAUAAAGUCUCAGACUUGGUG
rnacentral:lncRNA from 1 species